UAGGGAAUAUUGGUUAAUGUGCGAAAGCGCGAACCAGCAACGCCGCGUGUGCGAUGAAGGCCUUCGGGUCGUAAAGCACUUUUUGCAGGGACGAGGAAGGACGGUACCUGCAGAAUAAGUCUCGGCUAACUACGUGCCAGCAGCCGCGGUAAAACGUAGGAGACGAGCGUUAUCCGGAUUUACUGGGCGUAAAGCGCGUGCAGGCGGCAUGGCAAGUUGGAUGUGAAAGCUCCCGGCUUAACUGGGAGAGGUCGUUCAAUACUGCCAGGCUUGAGAGUGGUAGAGGGAAGCGGAAUUACGGGUGUAGUGGUGAAAUGCGUAGAUAUCCGGAGGAACACCAGUGGCGAAGGCGGCUUCCUGGCCCAUUUCUGACGCUCAGACGCGAAAGCUAGGGUAGCAAACGG
rnacentral:rRNA from 1 species